rnacentral:rRNA from 1 species
UAGUGGCGAACGGGUGAGUAACACGUGGGCAAUCUGCCCUUCACUCUGGGACAAGCCCUGGAAACGGGGUCUAAUACCGGAUAACACCUGCCCGGGCAUCCGGGUGGGUUAAAAGCUCCGGCGGUGAAGGAUGAGCCCGCGGCCUAUCAGCUUGUUGGUGAGGUAGUGGCUCACCAAGGCGACGACGGGUAGCCGGCCUGAGAGGGCGACCGGCCACACUGGGACUGAGACACGGCCCAGACUCCUACGGGAGGCAGCAGUGGGGAAUAUUGCACAAUGGGCGAAAGCCUGAUGCAGCGACGCCGCGUGAGGGAUGACGGCCUUCGGGUUGUAAACCUCUUUCAGCAGGGAAGAAGCGAAAGUGACGGUACCUGCAGAAGAAGCGCCGGCUAACUACGUGCCAGCAGCCGCGGUAAUACGUAGGGCGCAAGCGUUGUCCGGAAUUAUUGGGCGUAAAGAGCUCGUAGGCGGCUUGUCACGUCGGGUGUGAAAGCCCGGGGCUUAACCCCGGGU